AAAAAAAAAAAAAAGGAAAAAAGAUCUAAACGACAAGCUAUCCCAGAAUAUGGUGUCGUACGUCAGUGCGUUGCUGUACGGAGUGGGCGGCAUAGUGAUGGCAGGGAUGGCGCUGCUCGUGGCUUUCCAAGAGAGGUUAGUCUACGUCCCUGUCUUGCCCGGUCUCACCAAAUCCUAUUCUAUAACUCCUGCCCGCCUCCGACUCCUUUACGAAGACGUUUGGCUCAGAUCCUCCGACGGCGUUCGCCUUCACUGUUGGUUCAUUAAGUUCUUUCCUGAAUGCCGAGGUCCAACCAUCUUGUUUUUCCAGGAGAAUGCAGGAAGUAUCCUUUAUCAUCAUUUUUACUAUAUGGGGUGAUAUGUUAAGUUUAUCAUGUAGUCCUACAAUUGCCAAUUGGUUUUUUCUAUCAUAUGUAUGGUUGUUUCAAACUUUCUCCUAGCAGCCUUAAUUAGCAUUCUGUAGAUAUUGCUCACCGUCUUGAGAUGGUUCGCAUCAUGUUACAGAGGUUGCACUGCAAUGUGUUUAUGCUUUCAUACCGAGGGUAUGCAUUUACUAGUUUUGCAUCAAAAUUUUCUCAUUUAUGUUAUGUAUUCUGGAUGUCAAUCCAUGCGUGUGUAAUUCUUAUCUAGCUGAGUGAAGACAAAUGCUCCAUUCCUUUUGUGUGUGAACAGUUAUGGAGCAAGUGAUGGAUAUCCUUCUCAACCUGGAAUCACAAAGGACUCUCAGGCUGCAUUGGAUCAUCUUUCUCAGAGGACCGACAUUGACACUUCUAGAAUAGUUGUGUUUGGGAGGUCACUUGGGGGUGCAGUUGGGGCUCUGCUAACGAAAAACAACCCUGACAAGGUUGCUGGACUGAUUCUGGAAAAUACUUUUACAUCUAUUCUGGACAUGGCUGGAGUGCUACUGCCUUUCUUAAAGUGGUUUAUUGGAAAUACUCAUUCAAAAGGUCCUAAAAUUCUUAAUUUUCUAGUACGUUCUCCAUGGAGCACCAUUGAUGUCAUAAGCGAGGUUAAGCAGCCGAUCCUUUUUCUCUCUGGAUUGCAAGAUGAAAUGGUACCCCCAUCCCAUAUGCAAAUGCUGUAUGCUAAGGCAGCUGCUCGUAACAAGGAAUGCAUCUUUGUGGAAUUUCCCUCUGGCAUGCACAUGGACACCUGGCUGGCUGGCGGUGAUCAUUAUUGGAGAACUAUUCAGCAGUUUCUUGAAAAGCAUGUUCCAGAAAAGAAGGAAAACGAGUCAUAUGACACUGACCAAGGUAUUCCUUUUGCUUCUGAAAAUUUAAUGAAAGCUUGUCUUGGAACGGAAAAAAGAUGGAAUAUAAUGCACCUAACAUGAUAAUAAUGUCAAGAAGUAAAAAUAGGAAGAUGAAUCACAUUUUCUAUGGUGUCUGUGGGUCCCUGAUUUGGGUAGUUUCUUAAAGUCUUCUCUUCACCAAGUUAAUUUUCUGUUGGCACUUUUGCGUGACCUGUGUAUGGCCAAGGAGACAAACCCAUUAAGAUCAGACUCAAAGCAUGUUGAGAAUUGUUGUUGCUAAUAACAACUUUUAAAAAAAAUGUUAGAAGCAAUAGAUUUUUACAAUUUGGUUUUCAUAUUCCAAAAGCAGAUUUUGAAAAAAAGUCAUUUUCGAAGUUUUUGCAAAUAGCUAUUGAAUUGUAUUGAUAAAUUUUUGCAAAGAGCUUGUCUUCUUCAACUCAAAUUCUUGUCAUGCACAUUUGGUAGUUAUGUGCAAUAGUAAUGCCAAACAUGCUCUCCAUGCCAAAACUUGUAAAGGACUGAUGGCUGAUGGCAUGAAUUUUGUUUGGCUACUUACGCAUGUCUGUAACAGAAACAACCAAGAGACAAGCCAUUUUGGUGAUUUGGAAGGCUAAUUCUUUGCUGUGGGAUUCACAAUUCAGAAACCAUAAACUGCUGUGUCACAUGGUGUGAAAACAGCCACGAUCUGGAAAAGGUUAUUCCCUAAAGCAGAUGUCUUCUGCCAAAAGGCAGAAAAUCAACU
rnacentral:misc_RNA from 1 species